ACACACUGGUCUUGGUGUCGGGUACUACCUUCUGGCGGUGUUGGCGGGCUGAGGCGUGGCUGGUUUCCUUCAUGUGACUUCUCCCACUUUGUCCUUCCCUUAGAAUUUCAUUAGAGAGUUAGGAAAAGGAGAAAGCAACUAUGCCAAAGAACCAUCGUCUAGUUAUACAAGGAUGUAGGUUUAGCAAGGGAGCAAACUUCUACUUGUCUCCUUGAAAGCCACUUGGGAUCGUCCUCUUCCAAGAUUGUUUCCUUUCAGUCCAGUACACACUUACCUAGCAGGGUGGGGACUCUGCUCAUCCUGAACUCAGGCCACAGAGAGACAAAAGGCAAGCAAAGAUUGGACACCCUCGUGCUGCCUAGAGAGAUUGAGAGGGUUAGCGCCUUAGCUUACCUGCCCAGGCAGUGGAUCAAGGAACAUUUUGAAAUGUGUGAAUACUAGUGAAUGUGAAAUAAUCAUGAAAGACAUAGAUUUUGUCGCUGAUCUGCUCUAACAAAUAAAGUGAAUGAACUCCAUCACCAUGUAUCAGAGGGAUGGCUGUGACCUUUACAACUGCCGCGUCAGAAGAAUCCCAGGAAAUAUAUAUUCUUGGUGCAUUUAAUAACAACACUACUGUGAAUUAGUUAAUAUUGUCAUGCCUCGACAUCAUCAAAAUAUAGCACUGGGAAUGUGGGUGAAAAGUUCACAAAUAUGAAAACAGCAGAGUAUGUGCUGGGUCAUUUUCUCCAUCUCUGUGCCAGAUGGGUGAUUUAGCUGUAGGAUGGCUUUAUUUAAAGGAUCGAUGUCAUCUUUAAAAUCAUGCCAGAGACUGAAAACACUAUUCCUGCUUAUAAUUAUAAUUAUGAGGAGGCUUGAACAUUACAGUAACUGGAAGUGCUAUUGAAAAAAAGGGGGGAUACCUACUUUUUAACAGUUGAAUUAUUUCAUGUAAUUUACAGAUAUUUUUAAUAGUUCAUUUCAUUAAUUUCUUUACAGAUGCCAACACUCAUCUCCUUCACUGAGUAUUUUUUCUAUAAAUAUAUAUCUACUAAAAGUUCUAAUGAGGUUGUUUUUUUUAAAAAAAAUGAUCAUGUUAUUUUAACCAUCUUCCAAUGAAAUAUUUUAAUCACACAAUUAGAAGUUUAGUUUGACAGUCUCUCUUUUUCAAGUCAAGUCAAGUGAGAAUCGGGAGCUGUCAUUUAACACAAGUUACAAAUAAAUGCACUUAAGGGUCAUGAUGGUUGCAUUCACAUACUUUUGUUUUUCUUUUCUUUCCUUGGUGCAUGGUCUGGUUUCAGAUUUUUUUCAUAGCAAUUACUACCAUGAUCAACACCCUCCUGAGGGCAAACUAAGGUUUUUUUGCUUUCGUUUGUGUCCUUGGCAAAAUAAAUAGUAUGCUAUUCUUCCUCCAUACAGUCAUCUCUUCAUCCAUCCUGUUCUGGUUCUGAGGUUUGUCGAGCUGUAAUAGAUCUGCUUUUUCCUCUUCCUCUCAUUAACUGGUUAUCCACUGCCAGAGAUCUUCUCUCAUUCUAUCCCAACUGGUCUGAAUUGCUACUGGGAUAAUUUGCUUAGGCCUUCUUCAUAUCCCCAGGGGCUCAGCCUCACCAUCUUUCAUUUCUUCAUCCCGUUGCUGCUCAGCAAAUCAACUAUGUGCCCUAAGAAAUAAAGGAUUGAGAGUCUCUUUUGUUCACUAAGCAGCCAUGUGUGAAUCCUCAACAUGGGGAGAGGAAUCAUGCUGGUGGUUGGAGAUCUGCAGCAGAGUUUCCCACCAUUCCUUAAGCCCUGCUGGCCUUCACCAGCCAGGGUGAAAGGUGUUGGUGUUGGGGGACCAUUUACCUCCCAUUGCUUGUGGGCCAGCAAAGUUUCCACCUGUAUUUGGAGGCAUA